UUUAUUUUUAAUUUUUUUUAAGAUUAUCUCAUUUAAUCUUUAACUCUUACGAGGUCCUAGUGUUCAUUUCUGGGUUGCCCAAACCCAAGAAGAUGGUCAAGUGCUUGUGAAGAGAUACCAACUGCAGCCAGAAGCACAUACCUUUCAUUUUCCUGAAAGCUGGAGUGACAAUAAUCAGGAGAUUAAUUCAAAUAGGUGUAUCUUCUGAAGGAAGCAGCUGGAGAGGGCAGGAUCAACAUUAAAUGACAUGAAGGUGUACUCCCUGCUAACUCCCUUUCCAGCUUCUACAAGGAACCCCUGUGGCUAGAACCCAAAACCAGUACCCCACGGCCUAAAAGGGAAUUCCAGACAACCCUACCAUAGAAGUAGUGAAGAAACCUUCAUCUCUAAUUCCCUGGUGGACAGAGAGGACUCUGUUUGUGGGCAGUGUGGGGCUGAGUGUUCUUCCAGCAUAGAUUGGAGACGGCAGGUAAGAUGCUGUAACUUUGUGGAUGGUACCAGGUAGCCCCUUACUCAGCCUUAUAGAAAUUCCAGUGGGCCAAUUGCUCCUCAAAGUGUGCUUAGGGUCUCUAUCAAGUUUUACAACUUCUGGUUGGUAUCUAUAUCCACAUCUACUGCACAGCAUUAUCCACUGCAUCAGGAGGGUGAGGGAGAUUUAAUAAACCAGACACAUGGGAUAAAAGACUGAAAGACAGAAAGGGAAAAGGAGAGCAGAAUAAGGGGCCAAAGAUAUGGGGAUACAGCUUCUAAUAGUUGUGAACAGGAGGAAGAGAAAUUUGGAUUCAAAAGGAACAGAGAAGUCAGGCACUAAAUUCUAAAUGAACAGGGUUACAGAAAUGAAAGUCAACAAGAUCAUUCAUUAUAUUAUCACAAUCCAAGAGCUCAAGAAAGAUAGAAUUUAAGCUUUACUUUUUUUUUUUCCUCGCUAGUUUCUUCCUUUGGCAACCUAGCUCAAGAUCGCUAGAAUUCAGGUUUUUCAUGAGACUCUAUCUUGAAUACCCAAAGACUUAUCCCAAACUGAUGUUUCUCUCUGAGAAUUUGAAAUUCACAGCAUUUUGUCUAAACUGGCCUUGAUUUUUAUUACCUUACUGAUAAGGUCCUGUUCCUGAAAGGGUAUAACAGAUCAUGUCAAGAUUUCUAGAGAGUACCCGGGUCACUACUAAACAUUGAUUUCUCAGGGUUUUAUUAUUCCUUGGCUUCUGAGGCAAUAACAGGCUAUUUGUACCUUAAUGUUGGAUUUUUAUCAGUACCUGUCAUUCCCUUUACUUAUGCUAAGUAUCAGCACUACAAGGGGUUGGAAUGAGAGAAAAACAUAAAACUCUAAAUGUUGGUUCUUAGAUUUUAACCUCGAUCCAGUAAGCUCAUAACCCUCUCUUGGUUCAAAGCACGGAAGUACACAUUUCUCGCCCUCCAAUAUUUAACUGGCACCAACAGAGAAAGUACAAACUUCAAAACCACAAGAGGCCAACAGGAUAGCUGUGUUUUGUCUCUCCUGCCCUGAGGCACAACUGGAGUCUAGCACCAAGGAGGGCAGGAUUUAAUAGACCAGCACAGGAAGAGUCACUUUACAGAGGUAGGUUGGACUGGGAACAAGACUGCAGCGUAGACUAACAACAGAAUAAAAAUCCAAUGUGAUUCUUACUGAGGAAAGUAUUUUUGGCCACUUGUGAUCUAAUUAAGCGCCCCAAGAGUGACAAAGAUGGUCAUGCAGAGAGUGAGGAUCUGCCUGGUGUGGGCAUGGAUGUCGGCCUAUCAGCCGACCACACCCUAGGCCUCUCCAAAGAGAGGGCUGGGCUUUUGCCCCUCCAACCCAUGACUGGCUGAUUUACAUUGCAGAUCAAAGAUUCUCAACCUUCAAGCCAUUUCCAAGAAAUUACAGAUCUUUAAGAAUAAGGACUAGUGAUUUCAUACAUGCUAAUAAAAGUUACUUUGGCUACAGCCCUUAGUGCUUGUGUGCCUGGGCACAAAGACACAGUUGGGGCUGAGUAAAUGUUUGUGGAAUGAUUAAGUAUUGACCAGCAGCAUUUAGUACAUGAGUUAAGCCCAGAAACACCACCAACUAAUAGCAAGUCAAAUUCCUGUGCCCAGUACCAGGUAGCUCACCCACCAGGUGAUACUCCCUCUAAAGCAGAGAUGCUCUAAGUGUGGUCCCCUGAUCAUCAGUAGGAGCAUCACCUGGGAGCUUUUUGUUAAAAAUACCAGUUUGGGGGCUCUGGGUCGAGGCCCAGCAAUCAGGGCUUUAACAAGCUCUCCACGUGAUUCUGAUGCAUGCUGAAGUUUGAAAACCACUGGUUUAGAGGCAGACACAUGAAAACAAUAAUGGGAGAAAAUUAUUUAAACGCUUACUUCAGCUGUGACAUAUGAAGGUACCAAGUCAAAGUAAAAUGUCAAUGGUUUCAUUUAAAAAUAUCUAUUUUCUCAAAUUGAUUGUCAUUU